rnacentral:lncRNA from 1 species
GGAUUUCUGAGUUCCAGGCCAGCCUGGUCUACAGAGUGAGUUCCAGGACAGCCAGGGCUACACAGAGAAACCCUGUCUCGAAGAAGAAAAAAAGAGAGAGAGACAGAGACAAACAGACUGAGACACACACACAGAGAAAGAGAGAGAGAGAGAGAAAGAGAUUGACCACACAUGCAGAAAUGAACUAAGCAAAUAACCUAAUAGGGUCACACAGUAGUGAUUCACACCUUUAAUGAGGUGAAACUGAAAGAACCUAGUGGGGAAACCCCCACUCAACUCCCAAUUCGGCGUGCACCCAAGAAUCACGAAUAGAACACAACACCUUGAUGUAACAACACAAGGUAUUUUAAUGGCGGAGCUCCGGGUUGAAACGUAUCUCACACAGGAGACAGUAGAAUCGACCACGAGGCUUGGAAGCUAGAGGUUUUUAUAGAAAAGGAGAGGGACUGGGGGAGGAAUUGGUGCGGUUUCACAUAAUUGGUCCAUUUAAACAUCAGCAGCCUGUUAACAUUUAACUUAGGUCAGAGGGGUGGGAGCUAGGGAAGCAAUGGGCCUGCCUGGGCAUGUCCUGGUCUGUUCUGCUAUGUUCUCAGCCCCAGGUUUCAAAGCUCACAACAACUCUUUGGGCUAUUUGACAUACAUUACAUGAAUCACAGGUCUCAAGUUUUAUUUUCUUUUAUUCCCCUCUUCUUCUGUUUAGACUAAUUCUAAUCAUAGAAUUUUAGAGAUUGGUGUCCCCUAACUCUUCAUCUACCUGAACUAUAGGUUGAUAUUGCCUUUGAAGAACCAUGAGUUUUACUGUAUCAAUUCUACUCUAGAUAAAAGUCAUUCCUCUAUUUAUUAUACAAGGGCCGAAAACUAAAGGUAAGCAUAUCAUAAGGAUUGGUCCGGCUACAGAGGAAAUCAAAGAAGUUAUCCAAGAUGGUCGUGAUUCAAACCAUGACUCAAACCACCCCGUUGAGCAUCCCAUUCCCGUUUCCUUCGCUCUAAUCUUUCUCUCAGUUUCUGCAUAGAGUCUCUAACUAUUCCUGUAUGAUCUGCAUAGAAGCAGCACUCUUCUUUAAGGGCAGCACACAGUCCUCCUUCCUUUAGGAACAACAAAUCAAGACCUCUCUUGUUCUGCAAAACUACCUCAGACAGGGAGGUCAAAGAUUUUUCUAAAGCGUCAAUGGACUUCUCUAUUGCCGCUAGGUCUUCAUUGACAGCAUCCCUCAAAGACUGAAUUCCCUGUCUUCCUUCUAUUAAAGCUGACACUCCAUCUCCACUCCUACUGCCAUACCUAUUCCCAUGAAUGCAGCCAGGGUUAAAGUAAUUGGUUCUCUUUUUGACCGCCGGCCAGCAUAACUUUCUUCUAAACUGGAUGCAGGGUGAUAAUAUACUCGGGGUAACAGCUGGAUCAUGACACAAAAAUCAUGAGAUGAAUUAAAAACCUUAGUUGAUACACAGGAAGUGAGUCCUGUAUUGCAAGUCCACCAUCCAACUGGGGAAGGUACAAGAUAGUAAUUAUCUUCCGUUCUGGACACAGACUGAAUUUGUCCACAUAGGUGUUUGUGGGUGGAAGGUGGGGUGCCUAUACAGAGACCUGGACUCCUUGCGGAUACUUCAGUCAGGGUCAGUUUUUGUCCUGUUCCCCAAGAGCAGGAAGUAUGGCUGCUGGUUUUGUUGAAAUCUCCAUUGAAGGCAAUUCCUUCAUAAUAAGGCGGACCCGAGGACAGGCAUAGCCAGCAGCAGUCCUCAGUAGCGCUUGGAUCAGUUCUAUUAAGGGCAUAAACGGCUCCUCUCACUAGGUUAAACAUCCUCUGUCUUGUUGAAGGAAUUGCGGGGGUAAUAGUUAGAGGUACCUGAGGAGUGGGAGGUUGGGUGAUAGCGGCCAUAUUAAGGGAGUAAUCACUGGAGUAGGCUGAGUAAUAGUAUGGGUGAGGGGUGUGGACUUGGUUGGGGGGGCCUAAAGGAUUGUAGGGGGUCUGUAUUUUUAAUCUGAUAGUGAACAAUAAUCCCUCAUCAUAUCUUUCCUUGUAAAUCCUAAGACCCCAGGUAUACCCUUUUGUCCAUCCCAGAGCUCUCUUCCCUGGUUCAGUGAAGGUGACACGGAGCGGAUGGCACCAGUCAGUACACUCGUCUAGGUCAAAUCCUCCAGGUAUGUAAGACGCUAGGGAAUAGUUGGCUGUUACUCUAAUAUAGUCCCAGCUCGAGGAGGGCUUCCAGCGGGCUGUACCUGAAGUCUCGCAACCCCAGCUCUUGCAAAAGAAGUCAGCCUUACCUCCACAUGUUGGAUUGAGGGACUGACUUUGGUGGGGCCCAGGGCAGACAUAGAAGGGAUGGGUUCGAAGCAUACUUCUAUCCCUUUGGUUAGAGCAACCACCCCAUAGGUCUCUUGAAUGUUUUUCUACGUACGGAGGGGGUGUUAAAGGUGCUCUGAAUGUCAGAGUACCCCUCCAAGUCCCAUCUAGGAGGGGCUCCUAUAGCCAACUUACAGAUGUCAGGGGAAAGAUCAGGCCACUAAGUCCACAGAGGGUGUACCUCGGCGAUUGUCCAUACAGCCCUACCCCCCUCAUUGAAUACCUCCCACGUUUGUUGAACAGGACUGUGGGGGUUGAAGUCCUUUGGGAUCGCUCCUACGAAGCAGGCACAACUUAAGAGGGUUAGUAGUCUUCUCCAAAGUCCACUCAUCAUGGCUGACUCCCGGGGGUGCUCUCUUGACGUGGGAUGCGUGGACCCAAGUGGGGAUUCCUUCCACUUUGACCGCGGUGGGCGUUGUCAGUAGCACCAAGUAGGGUCCCUUCCACCUCGGCUUUAGGUUUCCCGUUCGGUGUCUCCUCACCAGGACUGCGUCUCCUACUUCAAACUGGUGCGGCACCUCUGAUGUACCCUCCGGCAGGCUGCUGGCCCAUAUGACAGACUUUCCAUCCACUACUGCUGCCCCAGCCCUCUGCUUACCUUCUACCACAAAGCUGCUUCUGUCCGUGAACCAAGUCAUCGCCCCUGGCCAAGGUUGGUCUGUGAGGUCCGGCCGGAUUCCAGUCUCUUCUGCCAGUAUUUCUUCACACUUAUGUGUAGGGGCCUCGUCAACCUCAGGUAGUAAGGAGGCGGGGUUGAGAAUGGCUGGGGGUGCGAAACUUACUUGCUCUGUCAGCAAUAGGCUCUGAUAGUGCGUCAUUCGGGCGUUGGUCAUCCAGCGGUCCGGUGGUUGCCUGAUGAUGCUCUCAAGAGAGUGUGGGGCCACUGUAGUAACAUUCUGGCCCAUAGUCAGUUUGUCAGCAUCUCUUACUAGCACAGCCGUGGCUGCUAUCGCUCGCAGGCAGGAGGGCCAUCCACUGGCCACAGGGUCCAGUUUCUUUGAUAAGUAGGCUACCGGACGCUUCCAUGGUCCCAAAACCUGGGUAAGGACUCCCCUUGCCACUCCAUUUCUUUCAUCAAUGUAUAGGGUGAAAGGUUUGUUUAAAUCUGGCAGGGCCAAUGCCAGGGCCUGCAGCAGUGCCUUUUUGAGAGUUUCAAAGGCUAGCUGAUGUUCUCUGGUCCAGGUGAAUUCCCCUUUCUCUUUGGUUAGUGGAUACAAGGGAGCUGCCAGUGUGGCAAAUCCGGGAAUCCAGAGUCUGCAAAACCCGGCAGUCCCCAGGAACUCUCUUACCUGGUGAGCAGUGGUUGGGGCCAAAAUCUGUAUAACAGUUUGUUUUCUGGCUUCUGUGAGCCACCGUUGUCCAUCUCUCAGGACAUUUCCUAGGUAGGUCUCUUCUAUCUGGCAUAACUGAGCCUUUUUAGCAGAGGCCCGAUACCCCAGCUUACCUAACUCGCCCAGGAGGUUUUGAGUCCCAAUUUCACAGUCCUCGCGUGUUUCUGCAGCUAGGAGCAGGUCAUCUACAUACUGCAGAAGAGUCACCUGUGGGUUAUUGGCUCGGAAAAGAGUAAGAUCUCGGUGUAGGGCUUCAUCGAACAAAGUGGGCGAGUUCUUGAAUCCCUGAGGCAGCCUCAUCCAUGUGAGCUGUCCGGCUUGUCCACUCUCGGAGUCUCACCAUUCGAAAGCAAACAAGGGCUGGCUGUUGGGGUGUAACCUCAAACAGAAAAAAGCGUCUUUGAGAUCCAGAACUGUGUACCAUGUCCGACCAAGUGGCAAGGUGCUGAGGAGGUUAUAAGGAUUUGGCACCGUGGGGUGUAUGUCCUGAACUCUCUUGUUGACUUCUCUAAGGUCCUGGACUGGACGGUAGUCACUGGUCCCUGGUUUUUUUACUGGAAGUAGAGGAGUGUUCCAAGUGGAUUUGCAUGGGACCAAAAUCCCUUGUUGGAGCAGUUUGUUGAUUUGGGGGCGUAUCUCUUGAGCUUCUCUGCUCAUGGGAUAUUGUCGGACCCCUAUAGGGGUGGCCCUGGACUUAAGUUCAAUCACCACGGGGGGGGGGGGACCAGUUUUGCCAUCCCCACUCCUCCCGUCUCUGCCCACGCCUGAGGGUAUCGAUUCAACCAGUCCUGUAAUCCCUCAGGGGGCUUUACUUUAUUUUGGUAAAGUCGAUAUUCCUCCCCUAGUUGUAAAGACAGCUCUAGAGUCUGGGGUGCUUUUAUUCCCCAGAAAACCUCCCGUCGAUGAGAGGUGAAAGUUAUUUGUGCUUUUAACUUGGUUAGUAAGUCUCUCCCCAAUAGAGGCAUAGGACACUCUGGAAUGACUAGAAACGAAUGAGUUACUCGAUUUCGCCCUAUGUCUACUACUCGGGAUGUGGUCCAUGGAUAUGAUUUUUGUCCCGUGACCCCGAUCACCAAGGUUUAUUCAUUUUUCUUCACUUUUCCUAGAGGUGUUUUGAGUACUGAAAAUUUGGCUCCCGUGUCGACUAGAAAGUCCACGGGGGUCCCCUCCACUUCUAAGGUUACCCUAGGCUCAGGGAGGGGGGCCGAGCCCCGUUCCCCCUAGUCUUUAUCUUUUCCAAGAGAAAGCAUCUUCACCUCUUGUUUUGUUUUGUUUUUUCAGACAGUCGCUCUUCCAGUGGCCCAUUUCCUUGCAAUAUGCGCAUUGGUUCCUCUCCAGGCGCUGCCCGCCUUCUCUGGGUCUCCUUGGUCCCUGCUGUCUUUUGUCUUCCAGGUUCCCUGACUGUCUACCUCUUUUUCCGUUAUCUCUUUUUCCUACUGCGGCCAGGAUCCUAGUCAAAACCUUUUCUUGCCUCCUGUCUCUCCUAUCCUCAUCCUCUCUUUUCUCUCUUUUCUCUCUCUCUAACUUUUCAUCGUCUGUUUCUCUCCUAUGAUACACUUUCUCUGCCUCUCUAACUACAUCCCUUAUGGUGUAAUCCUGCAAGCCCUCAAUUCGCUGUAACUUCUUCCUAAUGUCAGGAGCCAACUGGCCAAUGAAGGCCAUAAUUACUGAGGCCCUUUGACCCUCAGAUGUGGGGUCGAAUGGAGUAUAUCUCCUGUAAGCCUCCAUGAGCCUUUCGAGGAAGACUGAGGGGGGCUCAGUCGCUCCCUGUAUAACCUCUCUUACCUUGGCCAGAUUCGUGGGCUGCCGAGCAGCACCUCUGAGACCUGCCACUAGGGCCCGGCGAUAAUUGGACAGUUGUUCCCUACCUGGUGCCAUAUUAUAAUCCCAUCGGGCCGGGUUAGCGGGAAUCCUUCAUCUAUCUCAGCUGGAGUUUGGACAGGGCGCCCAGCCUCGUCUCGGACGGUUUUCCAAGCCUCGAGGAGAAUCCUCUCUCUCUCCUCGGUUGUGAAUAGAGUCUGCAGAAGCUGCUGGCAGUCAUCCCAGGUCAGCUGGUGUGAAUACAUUAAUGAUUCAACCAACCCAGUGAGUCCUGCAGAGUUCUCUGUAAAAUGGGGGGUGAUUAGCUUUCCAGUUAUAGAGGUCAGAAGAGGAAAAAGGCCAAUACUGUAGGGGCUAUAGACUAUUCCGAUCGGCAGGGGGAGCCCCAAUAGCCCUGAGGGGGAGCGCCAUGGUUGAAUCUGUCGGCCCCUCAGGGGCGACUCCUCGCUAGCUCCUUGUUCCUGUGGAGGGACCCCCUCCUCUGGCCCGGCCUGAGGCAGGGGUCCUGAGAGAGCUGAAGGUUGGGGCUGGGGAGCAUAUGGUGGGGGUUGAGGGGUGUCGGGCCACUCAGGGGGUUCUUCAAUCUCUGGAGAGAUCCUGGGAGGUUUCGUCACUGGUGUGCUGCGAUCAUCAUCUCCCCCUAGCGGUGGUUUCGGUUUCUCUUUCUCACCAUUUUCUCGAUGGCUAGGAUCUUGGUGCAAGGGCGGAGAGGCUGGAGGAAUGGGCAAACCCACAGGGGUGGGUAGCGUGCCAAGUCCUCCCAUACCGUGAUGUACGGUUGCUGGUCUGGAUGCAACCCUGGCCCUUCCUGAAAAACAAUGGUCUUCACAGCCCUUCUGGUGG